rnacentral:rRNA from 1 species
UACGGAGGGUGCAAGCGUUAUCCGGAUUCACUGGGUUUAAAGGGUGCGUAGGAGGGCAGGUAAGUCAGUGGUGAAAUCCCCGAGCUUAACUUGGGAACUGCCGUUGAUACUAUCUGUCUUGAAUGUUGUGGAGGUGAGCGGAAUAUGUCAUGUAGCGGUGAAAUGCUUAGAUAUGACAUAGAACACCAAUUGCGAAGGCAGCCCGCUACACAAUUAUUGACUCUGAUGCACGAAAGCGUGGGGAUCAAACAGG